rnacentral:rRNA from 1 species
CCUACUGCUAUCGGGAUAGGACUAAGACAUGUUAGUCGUGCGUCUCCCAGCCACGAAGGAGACGCGGCGCACGGCUCAGUAACAUGUGGCUAACCUGCCCUUAGGACAGAGACAAACCCGGGAAACUGGGGCUAAUCACUGAUAGGUGUAGGCUUCUGGAAUGGACUUACACCCAAAAGACGUUUAGAUCAUGCUUUAGAUGUCGCCUAAGGAUGGGGCCGCAGCCGAUCAGGUUGUUGGCGAGGUAAUGGCUCACCAAGCCUUUGACCGGUACGGGCCGCGGGAGCGGUAACCCGGAGAUGGACACUGAGACAAGGGUCCAGGCCCUACGGGGCGCAGCAGUCGCGAAAACUCCGCAAUACACGAAAGUGUGACGGGGCUAUCCCGAGUGCCGUCCGCUGAGGAUGGCUUUUCUUCAGUGUAAGGAGCUGGAGGAAUAAGGAGAGGGCAAGUCUGGUGUCAGCCGCCGCGGUAAUACCAGCUCCCCGAGUGGUAGGGACGUUUAUUGGGCUUAAAGCGUCCGUAGCUGGCUCAACAAGUCCUCUGUUAAAUCCAGCGAUUUAAUCGUUGGACUGCAGGGGAUACUGUUGGACUAGGAGACGGGAGAGGCCGACGGUAUUCUCGGAGUAGGGGUGAAAUCCUAUAAUCCCGGGAGGACCACCAGUGGCGAAGGCUGUCGGCUAGAACGAGCUCGACGGUGAGGGACGAAAGCUGGGGAGCGAACCGGAUUAGAUACCCGGGUAGUCCCAGCCGUAAACGAUGCGGGCUAGGUGUUAGGGUGGCUACGAGCCACUCUAGUGCCGCAGUGAAGGCGUUAAGCCCGCCGCCUGGGGAGUACGGCCGCAAGGCUGAAACUUAA